rnacentral:ncRNA from 1 species
GGAGGCAGCAGUGGGGAAUAUUGCACAAUGGGCGAAAGCCUGAUGCAGCGACGCCGCGUGAGGGAUGACGGCCUUCGGGUUGUAAACCUCUUUCAGCAGGGAAGAAGCGAAAGUGACGGUACCUGCAGAAGAAGCGCCGGCUAACUACGUGCCAGCAGCCGCGGUAAUACGUAGGGCGCGAGCGUUGUCCGGAAUUAUUGGGCGUAAAGAGCUCGUAGGCGGCUUGUCACGUCGGUUGUGAAAGCCCGGGGCUUAACCCCGGGUCUGCAGUCGAUACGGGCAGGCUAGAGUUCGGUAGGGGAGAUCGGAAUUCCCGGUGUAGCGGUGAAAUGCGCAGAUAU